CAGGGGCUAGGGAGAUAGCUUAGCGGCAUAAGUCCUUGCUUGGCAAGUGCAAGGGCCUGAGUUCGAUUCCCAGUAC